UGGGGAAUAUUGGACAAUGGGGGCAACCCUGAUCCAGCCAUGCCGCGUGAGUGAUGAAGGCCCUAGGGUUGUAAAGCUCUUUUGUGCGGGAAGAUAAUGACGGUACCGCAAGAAUAAGCCCCGGCUAACUUCGUGCCAGCAGCCGCGGUAAUACGAAGGGGGCUAGCGUUGCUCGGAAUCACUGGGCGUAAAGGGUGCGUAGGCGGGUUUCUAAGUCAGAGGUGAAAGCCUGGAGCUCAACUCCAGAACUGCCUUUGAUACUGGAAGUCUUGAGUAUGGCAGAGGUGAGUGGAACUGCGAGUGUAGAGGUGAAAUUCGUAGAUAUUCGCAAGAACACCAGUGGCGAAGGCGGCUCACUGGGCCAUUACUGACGCUGAGGCACGAAAGCGUGGGGAGCAAACAGGAUUAGAUACCCUGGUAGUCCAUGCCGUAAACGAUGAAUGCCAGCCGUUAGUGGGUUUUACUCACUAGUGGCGCAGCUAACGCUUUAAGCAUUCCGCCUGGGGAGUACGGUCGCAAGAUUAAAACUCAAAUGAAUUGACGGGGUCAUAGCUGUUUCCU
rnacentral:rRNA from 1 species